CCUACGGGGGGCAGCAGUGGGGAAUAUUGCACAAUGGGCGCAAGCCUGAUGCAGCCAUGCCGCGUGUGUGAAGAAGGCCUUCGGGUUGUAAAGCACUUUCAGCGGGGAGGAAGGCGUUAAGGUUAAUAACCUUGGCGAUUGACGUUACCCGCAGAAGAAGCACCGGCUAACUCCGUGCCAGCAGCCGCGGUAAUACGGAGGGUGCAAGCGUUAAUCGGAAUUACUGGGCGUAAAGCGCACGCAGGCGGUCUGUCAAGUCGGAUGUGAAAUCCCCGGGCUCAACCUGGGAACUGCAUUCGAACUGGGCAGGCUAGAGUCUUGUAGGGGGGGGUAGAAUCCCAGGGGUAGCGGUGAAAGGCUGAGAGAUCUGGGGAAAUACCGGGGGCGAGGGCGCCCCCCUGGACAAAGACUGACGCUCAGGUGCGAAAGCGUGGGGAGCAAACAGGAUAGAUACCCUGGUAGUC
rnacentral:rRNA from 1 species